rnacentral:sRNA from 1 species
GUCCCGAUCAGGUGGCGCGCCGCCUCUACA